AUUGAACGCUGGCGGCAUGCCUUACACAUGCAAGUCGAACGGCAGCACGGGAGCUUGCUCCUGGUGGCGAGUGGCGAACGGGUGAGUAAUACAUCGGAACGUACCCAGGAGUGGGGGAUAACGUAGCGAAAGUUACGCUAAUACCGCAUAUUCUGUGAGCAGGAAAGCGGGGGAUCGCAAGACCUCGCGCUCUUGGAGAGGCCGAUGUCGGAUUAGCUAGUUGGUGAGGUAAAAGCUCACCAAGGCGACGAUCCGUAGCAGGUCUGAGAGGAUGAUCUGCCACACUGGGACUGAGACACGGCCCAGACUCCUACGGGAGGCAGCAGUGGGGAAUUUUGGACAAUGGGGGCAACCCUGAUCCAGCCAUGCCGCGUGAGUGAAGAAGGCCUUCGGGUUGUAAAGCUCUUUCGGCGGGGAAGAAAUGGCAACGGCUAAUAUCCGCUGUUGAUGACGGUACCCGCAGAAUAAGCACCGGCUAACUCUGUGCCAGCCGCCGCGGUAAUAC
rnacentral:rRNA from 1 species